UGAUUAAAGAUAGCUUGCUAUUUUUAUGAAGAGCGGCGAACGGGUGAGUAACGCGUGGGAAAUCUGCCGAGUAGCGGGGGACAACGUUUGGAAACGAACGCUAAUACCGCAUAACAAUGAGAAUCGCAUGAUUCUUAUUUAAAAGAAGCAAUUGCUUCACUACUUGAUGAUCCCGCGUUGUAUUAGCUAGUUGGUAGUGUAAAGGACUACCAAGGCGAUGAUACAUAGCCGACCUGAGAGGGUGAUCGGCCACACUGGGACUGAGACACGGCCCAGACUCCUACGGGAGGCAGCAGUAGGGAAUCUUCGGCAAUGGGGGCAACCCUGACCGAGCAACGCCGCGUGAGUGAAGAAGGUUUUCGGAUCGUAAAACUCUGUUGUUAGAGAAGAACGUUAAGUAGAGUGGAAAAUUACUUAAGUGACGGUAUCUAACCAGAAAGGGACGGCUAACUACGUGCCAGCAGCCGCGGUAAUACGUAGGUCCCAAGCGUUGUCCGGAUUUAUUGGGCGUAAAGCGAGCGCAGGUGGUUUCUUAAGUCUGAUGUAAAAGGCAGUGGCUCAACCAUUGUGUGCAUUGGAAACUGGGAGACUUGAGUGCAGGAGAGGAGAGUGGAAUUCCAUGUGGUA
rnacentral:rRNA from 1 species